CACGUAGGGUGCAAGCGUUGUCCGGAAUCAUUGGGCGUAAAGAGCUCGUAGGCGGCUUAGUAAGUCGGGUGUGAAAACCCCAGGCUCAACCUGGGGACGCCACCCGAUACUGCUAUAGCUAGAGUCCAGUAGGGGAGUGUGGAAUUCCUGGUGUAGCGGUGAAAUGCGCAGAUAUCAGGAGGAACACCAAUGGCGAAGGCAGCACUCUGGGACGUGACUGACGCUGAGACGCGAAAGCGUGGGGAGCAAACAGG
rnacentral:rRNA from 1 species